rnacentral:rRNA from 1 species
UACGGGGGGGGCAAGCGUUGUUCGGAAUUACUGGGCGUAAAGGGCUCGUAGGUGGCCAACUAAGUCAGACGUGAAAUCCCUCGGCUUAACCGGGGAACUGCGUCUGAUACUGGAUGGCUUGAGUGUAGGAGAGGGAUGCGGAAUUCCAGGUGUAGCGGUGAAAUGCGUAGAUAUCUGGAGGAACACCGGUGGCGAAGGCGGCAUCCUGGACUACUACUGACGCUGAGUGAGCGAAAGCCAGGGGAGCAAACGGG